AGAGCGAACGCUGGCGGCAUGCUUAACACAUGCAAGUCGCACGGUCAGCAAUGGCAGUGGCGGACGGGUGAGUAACGCGUAGGAAUCUAUCCAGAGGUGGGGGACAACAGUGGGAAAACUACUGCUAAUACCGCAUGUUACCUGAGGGUUAAAGGUUGAUCGCAAGAUGGAUCGCCUUUGGAGGAGCCUGCGUCUGAUUAGCUUGUUGGUGGGUAAAGGCCUACCAAGGCGACGAUCAGUAGCUGGUCUGAGAGGAUGAUCAGCCACAUUGGGACUGAGACACGGCCCAAACUCCUACGGGAGGCAGCAGUGGGGAAUAUUGGACAAUGGGCGCAAGCCUGAUCCAGCAAUGCCGCGUGUGUGAAGAAGGUCUUCGGAUUGUAAAGCACUUUUGGCAGGGACGAUGAUGACGGUACCUGCAGAAUAAGCCCGGCUAACUUCGUGCCAGCAGCCGC
rnacentral:rRNA from 1 species